ensembl:lncRNA
CAGAAAGUCAUUCUUGUGUCUGGGGUCAAAGUGUUCUGUGGAUCACAGACAGGAACAGCAAAGGGUUUUGCAAAAGAGCUGGGGGUUCCAGUGUGAUCCAGUGUAAGGUUAUAGAUAUGAAAGAGUACGACCCCGAGGACAGACUGGCUGCGGAGAUGGGCAGCCCACUGAGAGUGCUGAAUGGUUCAGUAAAUGGCUUGAGGAAGCCUCCACGGACUUCCGAUAUGGGAAACCUACCUGAAGGGAAUGAGAUACGCCGUCUUUGGGCUGGGGAACUCUGUUUAUUUUGGCCAUUAUAACACUGUCAGUAAGAACAUAGAUAAGUGGUUGUGGAUGCUGAGUGCCGCACGGAUCAUGACCAGAGGAGAAGGUGACUGCAACGUUGUGAAGAGCCGACAAGGCAG